AAUCCCCAACUGGUGGAGUUUUCCAUCUGAGCCUGGAUCUUCAGAGGAAUAAAAGGAAGAUUUUGAUAAUGGAAUUGGUUGUACUUCCCCUUUUGUAAUUGGCUGUGAAAGAAGCUGCUAUUGCACCAAGUCCCUUCAUCUGUGAGCCCAUUGAGCUGGCAUUGCAUAUAUGUGACCAAUGACCAAAGUGGUUUAACUGUGUCUAUGUGAGAAGGGAAAAAUAAAUCAAAAGGCCUAUUUCUGGAGGGAUCAGCCUAUUCUCGUGUGAGAGGUCUUCUCUUUCAUGUAGAGAAUCAUCCCAGAGUUCUGGCAAACCAUGGUUUUGAAUAUACUCCCUUUUCCCCAAAUAUCCUGUCACAUACCAGAGGUGUAACCAUAUCCACAGUCUUAACUCCAGGUGGCUGGAAGCUGAUUCUGCAUAAAUUAAAGAGAAAAGGUGAUACAACACACUGUAAUCUAACUGCAGCAAUGGGGUAGUUCAUGCCAGGGAUGCAGCUUUCACUCAAGCUGACUACAAUGGACAGCAAAGGGGAAGUUUCCAUGGAGCUUCAUCCUGCUUCAUCCCUUUCCUUUAGCUCUGCCUCGUGAAACAAAGCCAUAAAGAGAGUGUUUAUUGCUGGGAAGGAUGUGGAAAACUUUCUCCUCUGUAGUGGACUUGGUAGUAGCACAGAAGAUUGCCUAAUUAAUAUAAUAAAUGAGGUGAGAAUUAUGAAAAGAAAAGAUGCUUCUUUUCAGAGCUGAAAAUUGAAGCAUGUGAGAUAGUCUGGAGGCUCUGAUUAUAAAUCUUUCUUACACAGACAUCAAAGCAGUGGGACUGGAAAAAGCCCUAAGGGGCUUGUGAAACAGAGUUUUGACUAAAAAUGGGUAUAACUAAUAUGGGUCAAAGCUUGCAUUAAGUGGAUAAGAAUUCAGAGUUUGUCAGCUUAGUCCUUUCUACUGGACAGCCAAAAUUUGGCAGGAUAUAUCAAGAAGAUAAUCUCUAUUAUAAUGUUUUUAGAAUUUCCUGCUUUGCUUCAGCCUGGAAAUGCUUCAAGAUUGGCUUUUUUGUGAUAUUUUCAGACUGCAUUUUUUUUCGUUUCUUAUUUAUUUGUAUGUUGGCCUUCCUUUUUCAAGCUGAAGACUAAGCUAAAGCUGUUGUAUGGGAGAAAGCAAGAUGAGGCUAGCUGAAUUGGACAGUGAGGUUAAAGAGUUUGAGGAGUGGGAAUUAAAAGAAUUUGUUGCUGUUAUUAGGGUGGCACCAUCUGAAGAUAUGGGACAUGGAUACUUUCACAGCUAGCAGCAAAAUCUGGGAGGAAAGUGUAGGCAAGGCGUUUGCUUUUAUAUCCAAAUCAAUGAUGGAAGUAAAACCGAAAGACCUUCAUUUAGUGACCAAGCAUCUCUGUGCAAGCAGCUGAGUAUCUCUGCAUUUGGUUUGAAAGGAGAUGAUUUAUUUCAUAGUGAUACAUGGUUCUUCCUAGGUACCCUUUAAACACCCUUUCUGCAACUGUCUCUUGCUCUAUUUUGGUGUAGGCUUGCAUGUUGGCUGGAUCUGAGCUGCAUGCAGUAAAGCAUUAUGAACUUCACUGUUUCUACCUUAUGUGAUACGGAUUAAAAGUUGGGCUGAAUUCACAGAAGCUGAAGUACUUCUAUAAGGCAUUUUUCCUCCAAGAAUGGCCUGCUGGUGCCAAGGAUUCCAGCACUGUAACUUGUUAGCAGAGUAAUAUUGAGCCAAGGCCUCAGUGCAGCAGAUAACAAAAAUCAACUCAAUUGUUCUUUGUACUUUUCCCAUGUGGACAUUCCUCAGUGUCCGAGGACCUUCUCCAGUUGAAAAUCAGUGAGACUGCAGUUAACUGUGUGAUGUGUUUCAGCAGGCAUGCCUACAUGCAUGCACUUUCUCACAGUGCUACACGCAAAUAAAGUGUUGAUUCCUGGCUAACUGGCAGGUAAUCAAAGGCAAUUCCUCCAGAUGCUGCUAGCUGGUGUCACAAGUGACACUUCAUUCAUGCCAGUGAAGUUUUUGAGAAGUGGCUGCCAAAUUGGAAACGUCUCAUAAUAGCUCUUAAACUGGUGGAAACAGCUACUUUGAACUUUGUUCUAGGGGUCAAGUUAGUGAAGGGAUCAGUUUUUUUUGCAGAUGAUGAAUGUUUUCAUGAAAUAGAAACACUUGGAAUAUGGGAACUUGCCAUUUUCUGGAAAUGCCUAUCACAGUGAAUACUACAGAUGGCUCUGAGAUACCAUUGUAGUGGGAAAUCUGGCUUGAGUUGUUUUAAAAUCAUGUACUCAUUCAUGCCCUUGGCUUUUAACAAGCUGUAGGGUUCUGUCUUCAGAUUCCACCAGGAAAUCCGUACACUGAUUCCACUCGGUGCUGUUGAACUGUGAACUAUUGACAUUGAUUUGUCCAGAGGUAAGAGUAGUGAAAGGACUUAGCAGCAGUUGCUACUAUAAGCACUGCUUUAUUAAAAUUUAAUAAAGGAUAUCAUUCAAAGAUCUUAUUAAUGUGAAACUUUUGCUUCUGUAAUGGAGUUCUAAAAAUGUGUAUUUUAAUGAUGUUGACAUGUCACAGGUCUUAGGACUUAGUCCAUUGCUCAUC